rnacentral:rRNA from 1 species
GGCUCAGUGAGGCUUCCGGACUGGCCCCAGGAGGUCGGCAACGACCACCCAGGGCCGGAAAGCUAUCCAAACUCGGUCAUUUAGAGGAAGUAAAAGUCGUAACAAGGUCUCCGUUGGUGAACCAGCGGAGGGAUCAUUA